UAUGUGUUUAGAAAGCCAGUCUAACCCUUUUACACCACUCUUUAAAGAGGUCAUCUACUUUGGGCCCCUCAAGUCCAUCUGCCCUAAUAGGGUCUCGUGCGGAGGCAUUCGUUUCAAUAUCAUCAUCCAUCCCAAUUCGGUUGCACUGGGAUGCUCAAUGAAUCUACAUAAGAAAAACAGCCACACAACUCAUAAAGUAGCUGAACAUGGCAUAACGUUAUAGUCUACACAGCGGGCUACAGGUUCAUCAUCCCAUGUUCUUACCUAUUUGCGCCAUUAUCUGACAAAGUGCGAUCUGUUUUAGGAAGGAACCGAGUACCUGACUGAAGACUAAAGAAAAGUUCUUCAUCGUCAAGAAAUUCUUGGACACAGUCCAGCCGUGUGUUGAUGGUUUCCAGGUCAAUGAGAGGUUCUAAGAUAUUUGAUCUGAGUCUUCGGCU